rnacentral:lncRNA from 1 species
CAAACGCAGAGAAUAAGUUGUCAGCAGUUUUAAACCAUUCUAAGUUUUUAAAAAAUACAAAUCCAAAAAAUAUUAAUGAAUUGAGAAAAAACAUGAAUAUUCACUUGAAAUCACCAACUUGAAGAGGUUGAUUUUGCUUCGCCAAUUGACUCGCUGUUGGUUUCAUAAUACUCUUCCUCGUUGCCGAAGUCUAUGUCAAAGUUGAUGAAAAUCGUCGCCUACAGUGCCAGCUUGUAGAUCGUAUUUUUUGUCUUUAGAGAUUUAGAUGGAUUGAAAAAGAUACAAAAGGUAUAUAAAGAAGAUAUUUAAUGAAAAGUACCAAACCUGUUAAUGAAUGACUAGAGACAUUUUAAAAACCAGAUAGGUGCGAUGGGCACCAUAAGAAUGUACAGUGAUAUCAAAUUCUCUCUUUUCUAUUAGAGCAAUGAUUAUGGUAUAAUCCUCUUAAGGGAUGCCAAAAAUUCACUCUUUUCCUUUUCUUUUUCAAAUGGCAGGACUUUGGGGUGCUCUUUGCUAACUAUGAGGGCUAUGGAAUUGGAUUUUUUCAACUUUACUAUAAUGUUUUCUUGGGCAUUUGCAAUCUGGGUAAGAUGAAAUGUUGUAUGCUCAAUAAGAUGUUGAAAUGUAGAUGAACUCAUCAAACCAAUGCCUAGAAAUUUAAUUAUAUCGAAUAGAAUAAGUACAUGAUUAUGGAACUUGUGAAACUAACAAAACUGUAAUAGAUGGAAGUUCAUCUCUACAUUGAAAACUGUUGAAUGUAUAUAAGGAAAAUCAAAGUAUUGACCAAAAGAAGAAGAAUUGAGAACUUACAGUAGUUAAGAAGCUCAUUGAGUACUCGGAUUCUCUGCUCAUGUUGUUCUGUCUCCCUGUCACAAUUUGAAGUAAACAAAAGCUAACACAUUUGCCUUUUAUGUUAAUUGGCCAAGGGUAAAAUACUCUAGAGUCAUAUAUCGUCUGCAUAUUUGAAAAUUGAAGAUAAUUUAUGAGAUGAAUAUGCCAAUGCGGUUUCUAUAUGAGCUUUUAUUUUAGAAAAACAUUAAUCAUAGACUUCAUAAUCUUUAAUUUUUGGUGAGUCGAGGAUGGAUGAUGGAGGAAAUGAGAAUAAUCAUAAUUCAUGCCAUGGCAGUGCAAAUAUGACUUUUAUCUUCUUGGAAACACCUAGCCAACCCGCUAUCAGCAAUUUUAGCAUGAAAGUUGAAAUUGAGGAGGAUAUUACUCGCUUUUAAAUCUCUGUGAAUGAGUGAGGUUGUCAAAGGAUAAUUCAGCUUUAGCCAAAAAAUUUAAAAAAAAAAAAAAAAAAAAAUUGCGUGCAAAAGCUUACUCUUUCUAUCUCAGUUGCAUGCCUAGAGUCAUAUAAAAUAUGCAGUUAGUUUGUGAGAUGCAUUUAUACAUAGUACACUGCGAUAUCCAACCAUAACCAACUAAGAAAAGUCUAGCUAACUUGUAUCAAACCCCACAGAGAUAAUAGUCAUGUCAGCAUUAAAUUCCUUAGCAACAGGAAUCAAAACAUAGUCCUAAACUGCAAGAUAGUCUGUACAAAAAGAGUGGUACAUGUAUAAGCUAAAUGAAUAGGAAUGUGCAAAAAGAGUGAGUUGCAUAUACUAAUGGAUGAAAAACUUGAAUAAAAUUAGUGCCCAAUAAUUCAAAUUAACUCUUAGUCUUUCAUUUUAGAGAAAACUUGUUGCAAUAGCAACACUAUUGUACACGCAAAACUCCACUGGUUCACUUUUUUCGGCAUGAUGUCCUGGAGGUUUGACAAUAGCAAAACCAGAAUCCAAUUUUCUUUUUGCAACUUGCUCAUCCACCUAUGUUACAAGGUUUCAACAGUCAAAUUCUUGAAAACUAAAGCAAUUGCACCACCUUGGCAUAUAGAAG